UACGGAGGGGGCUAGCGUUGUUCGGAAUUACUGGGCGUAAAGCGCACGUAGGCGGAUUGUUAAGUCGGGGGUGAAAUCCCGGGGCUCAACCCCGGAACUGCCUUCGAUACUGGCAAUCUUGAGUCCGAGAGAGGUGAGUGGAAUGUCGAGUGUAGAGGUGAAAUUCGUAGAUAUUCGACGGAACACCAGUGGCGAAGGCGGCUCACUGGCUCGGUACUGACGCUGAGGUGCGAAAGCGUGGGGAGCAAACAGG
rnacentral:rRNA from 1 species